UACGGAAGGCAGCAGUGGGGAAUAUUGCACAAUGGGCGAAAGCCUGAUGCAGCUAUGCCGCGUGUAUGAAGAAGGCCUUAGGGUUGUAAAGUACUUUCAUCGGGGAGGAAAAAACAAAACUAAUAAUUUUAUUUCUUGACGUUACCCGAAAAAGAAGCACCGGCUAACUCCGUGCCAGCAGCCGCGGUAAUACGGAGGGUGCUAGCGUUAAUCAGAAUUACUGGGCGUAAAGAGCACGUAGGUGGUUUUUUAAGUCAGAUGUGAAAUCCCUGGGCUUACCUAGGAACUGCAUUUUGAAACUGAAAUACUAGAGUAUCGUAGAGGGAGGUAGAAUUCUAGGUGUAGCGGUGAAAUGCGUAGAUAUCUGGAGGAAUACCUGUGGCGAAAGCGGCCUCCUAAACGAAUACUGACACUGAGGUGCGAAAGCGUGGGGAGCAAACAGGGAUUAGAUACC
rnacentral:rRNA from 1 species